AGAGUUUGAUCCUGGCUCAGGACGAACGCUGGCGGCGUGCCUAACACAUGCAAGUCGAGCGAGUGGAGUUCUUCGGAACAAAGCUAGCGGCGGACGGGUGAGUAACACGUGGGCAACCUGCCUCAUAGAGGGGAAUAGCCUUCCGAAAGGGAGAUUAAUACCGCAUAAGAUUGUAGCUUCGCAUGAAGUAGCAAUUAAAGGAGCAAUCCGCUAUGAGAUGGGCCCGCGGCGCAUUAGCUAGUUGGUGAGGUAACGGCUCACCAAGGCGACGAUGCGUAGCCGACCUGAGAGGGUGAUCGGCCACAUUGGGACUGAGACACGGCCCAGACUCCUACGGGAGGCAGCAGUGGGGAAUAUUGCACAAUGGGGGAAACCCUGAUGCAGCAACGCCGCGUGAGUGAUGACGGCCUUCGGGUUGUAAAGCUCUGUCUUCAGGGACGAUGAUGACGGUACCUGAGGAGGAAGCCACGGCUAACUACGUG
rnacentral:rRNA from 1 species